AUGUGACCACCUCACAGUUUGGAUCCAGCUACCUGGCCUGCCAUAUACACCCACAAACAUCCCACUUACUGGGAUUUUCUUUCUUCCAAUCAGGAGCCAGCUACACAGACAUCUUCUCAAGAAGCAUCCUAGGCCCAGACAACAGCAGGUACCUUGAAGACCUUGAAGCAGAAAUGAAUUCCAGAAAGAGGAAAAAGACCAAAGUGGCUACAAUUGAUUAAGCAGGAGAUGGAGUAAAGAGUAUGAAGAAAGGAUUAUAGGACUGAGAUACAUACAUGAAAGUCCUUUUAAAAAAAUGCUAAGGUUUGCAAAUCUCAGAAGACAAAAUAAAUAGAAACUUAAAAUAGGGUGCAGAAACCUAGGAAUUGUGAAGAAUGGAGUCGGUCUGGUGUGCUGGAGAGCGCACAGGAUGGCAGACCUGAGAGUCCUGUCUUGAGUUGACCACUACCAGCUGGGUAACCUUCGAUGCUUCCUCUGUGAUAAGCACUAUGCUGAGCACCAGAGAUGAAAUUAUGAACCAAAAAAACCAAAACAGCAGUGGUGCCUGCCCCCGUGAAGCUCAUCAUCUACUACAUCUCUGUGCAGAUAUUGAUAAAGUAGUACAAAAAAUGCAAAGCCACAAGUAGAGCAAAGCACUUGAGAGGAGAGGUCCACAGUGCUGUGAAGGAAUGCAGAACAGAGUAAUGACCUAGCUGAGAAGACUUCCCUGAGAAAGUGAAAAAGUUGCUGAGAUACCAUGCUUGAGAAGUAAAGGUGACGGUUGAAAGCAGAGCCUUUUGUGUAGAGGGAAUUUCAUUUUGCAAGGCCCUGCGGUAGUUGGAAGCAAAGCUUGGAGAAAGUCAUGUUGCUGGAGCCCAGGGAACAAGGGGAGGUGAUACAGAUGUGGGGUGAAUUGGGUCAGGAGAUGGACUACAGCAGGGCUCUGUCUUUAUCCUCAUGAAAAUUUGAAGGUGUUGAAGAGCUAAAACCCAGGGAAAAGGGGUGGGAGUGCUAAGAUGCUUAGAUCAAAAACAGUGUUGCAGGUGCCACCUGGAGGGUGCAGGUUAGGAGGCCAUUCCAGCAGACCAGACAGGAACUAAUAGAGAAAUACAGACUCAGGGCUGCUCUUCUUCCCAGCGCAGCCACACAGACCUCAGCUUGUCGGUGGGGGCCUUUCCUAGCCUCCUCUGCACACAGACCUUGCAGUGACAGCCUCGGAGCAAUACCCAGAGAAGGAGGUCAGAAUAUUCGAUAGAGGGUCCUCGUGUAGAUGCAAGAGAACCUAGAACAAAGCCCCAUAGAUAAGGGGGCCUGGGCAUGCAAAAGCAGAGAGAGGAAGCACAGUCCAUAUAGUCUUCUAGGCCUGGCCCAGGGGGAAGUCAUGUGAGCAGCCUGGACACCCCCCACCCCGAACUUUCCAAUACUUGGAAAGUACCCCUGGCCAGGACCUCAUUAGAGGCACCGGAGACCUCACAACCAACUCGGGGAAGAUAAAAGUUUAUUUGAAGCCUGAAGAAAAAGUGCUCUCUAUUUAAAGGGAACACAAAGGGUCCUUAGGAGCUUCUUCCCCCCACCUCCCUUGGCAGAUAUUGACUUACAAACCGAUCUCACUCCAGUGGUUGGAAUAUAUCUAUUUCCAAUCCUUGUACAUCUACCCUAUGAAUUGCAAUUUGAUGAAGCCAUAUGAACAACUAAUAAAGUCUCCGUGUAAAAAUGCUAUA